rnacentral:rRNA from 1 species
UACGUAGGGACCGAGCGUUGUCCGGAAUCAUUGGGCGUAAAGAGCGUGUAGGCGGCUAUUUAAGUCCUGCGUGAAAUCCUGCGGCUCAACCGCAGACGGUCGUGGGAAACUGGAUGGCUAGAGUGCGGGAGAGGAGAGUGGAAUUCCCGGUGUAGCGGUGAAAUGCGCAGAUAUCAGGAGGAACACCGGUGGCGAAGGCGGAUCUCUGGGCCAUUACUGACGCUGAGGAGCGAAAGCGUGGGGAGCGAACAGG